AGUACGAGAGGACCGGGUUGGACGCGCCGCUAGUGAACCUGUUAUGACGCCAGUCGUACGGCAGGGUAGCCACGCGCGGACGGGAUAAGCGCUGAAAGCAUCUAAGCGCGAAGCCUGCCUCGAGAUGAGAUCUCCUUACAGGGUCGUCGUAGACGACGACGUUGAUAGGCCACAGGUGUAAAGCCGGUGACGGCAAAGCCGAGUGGUACUAAUCACCCGAAAGUUGACGUUC
rnacentral:rRNA from 1 species